GUCUCUUCAGGGACACUUGAUAAAAUUGGAACAAUACAUAAAAGAUUAGCAUGGCUCCUACAUAAGGAUGCCACGUACAAAUCAAGAAAAGGUCUUUAUGAGU